AAAAAAAAUAAAGGAAAGAAAAGACUUCGCGAUCUAAUCACGGAGAGGGGCUAGGAAUUUGUCUCUCGAGAUGGAGCUCGAAAUGGCGUCCAUGGCGUCGGCGAUCGGGGUCUCGAUUCCCGUGCUCCGCUUCCUCCUCUGCUUUGUGGCGACGAUCCCCGUGAGCUUCUUGUGGCGGUUCGUCCCUGGAACCCUAGCGAAGCAUCUCUACGCCGGCCUUUCCGGGGCGGCUCUUUCCUACCUAUCCUUCGGUUUCUCCUCCAACCUCCACUUCCUCAUCCCCAUGGCUGCUGGAUACGCCUCCAUGCUCCUGUGCCGCCGCUACUGUGGGAUCCUCACCUUCUUUGUCGGAUUUGGUUACCUCAUAGGCUGUCAUGUGUACUAUAUGAGCGGGGAUGCAUGGAAGGAAGGAGGCAUCGAUGCAACUGGAGCUCUAAUGGUCUUAACACUGAAAGUCAUUUCAUGCGCAAUAAACUACAACGAUGGGCUACUGAGAGAAGAAGGUUUGCGUGAGGCACAAAAGAAAAACCGAUUGAUCCAUUGUCCCUCUGUAAUUGAAUAUUUUGGUUACUGCCUCUGCUGUGGCAGUCACUUUGCAGGACCAAUAUACGAGAUGAAGGAUUAUCUUGACUGGACAGCAAAGAAAGGAAUAUGGGCUCGUUCUGAAGACAGACCAUCACCAUCGCCUUAUGUUGCUACCUUGCGUGCUCUAAUUCAAGCUGCCAUAUGUAUGGGAAUUUACUUAUAUUUGGUACCACAUUAUCCACUUUCCCGGUUUAAUGAGCCCAUAUAUUAUGAAUGGGGAUUCUGGAAACGGCUGCAUUACCAAUACAUGUCUGGCUUUACGGCUCGUUGGAAGUAUUAUUUUAUUUGGUCUAUAUCAGAAGCUUCAGUCAUCAUUUCUGGUCUGGGUUUUAGCGGGUGGUCAGAUUCAUCUCCUCCUAAACCACAGUGGGAACGUGCAAAAAAUGUUGACAUUCUUGGUGUUGAAUUAGCAACCAGUGCGGUGCAGUUGCCGAUUGUGUGGAACAUCCAAGUCAGCACUUGGCUACGCUACUAUGUUUAUGAAAGGCUUAUUCAGAAAGGGAAGAAACCUGGAUUCCUUCAGUUGCUGGCUACGCAGACUGUUAGUGCUAUUUGGCAUUUUCAGGUAAGCUUGUCUGCUAGAAGCAGGAUAGGAGAGAACCAGUGGGAUUAUAUCCUGGAUACAUCAUAUUCUUUGUGCAAUCAGCAUUAAUGAUUGCAGGUUCGCGAGUUAUAUACAGAUGGCAGCAGGCUGUUUCCCCAAAAAAUGCAAUAUUUAGGAAGAUGCUAACAUUUAUCAAUUUUGCAUACACGCUGCUUGUUCUGAACUAUUCCUGCAUUGGUUUCCAGGUGUUGAGCUUCAAGGAAACACUGGCCUCCUACCAGAGUGUCUAUUUUGUUGGCACCAUCGUUCCCAUUAUGUUUAUACUGAUGGGUUAUAUUAUCAAACCAGCAAGGCCCGUCAGGCCUAAAGCUAAGAAGAGCCAAUAGCAUACUGAAAUGGUGUUUAUCCUUGGUACUAGAAGAAGUGGAAGCGAGAGCUAGUAUAUCUGCCUCUGGCCAUGACUACUCUCACAAUUAACGUCUAUGGGUUUGGUUGAAGUGAUCUUUUUCAAUUGGUGUUUCUCCCAUGUCCUCUGACCUUGUGUAAGCUUAUGUUCUUAGCUGAGAAUUCAGGAAUCAUUAUUGAGGUUUCGACAUUUGAUUGCUGCGACCCUAAUGAUUUCCAUGCAUCUGAAAUUCAUAGGUGCCAUUGUUAGAUUUUCAUUGCCAUUAGAAGAAUUGGUUCAACCAAAAGAACACUUUCAUCAUGAAGGGAGCUGUUUAUUACAGAACUACCAGUUCUUUUUGUUGGUGCUGUUUUUAUUAUGCAGAGUCCUGUAUUGGGUGAAAUUGCUUCUUGCUCAUGUUAUUGCAGGUGAAUUGACUAGAUGUAUCUAGUCUAAACCAAAAUUUUUGACAUAUAUUGCUGCACUUUAUUUAAAAUCGUGCUCCUAUACCCCCUUCUAGACAAUUCUGUCACGCUUCUAUUAAGCAGUUUAUAUCAUUCGCUGAUUUGACCUGAGUUUUAUUCAGUUAAUUUGUAUAAUUUUUUUCGUUAUUUCUUCAAUGUAUGGCUUAUUUACUCACAAUGCAAGCAGGAAAGUGUUAAUUA